ensembl:lincRNA
GAUUGUUUCUGGAUUUUUCUCGAAUUAUGUUUUAUUUUCUUCAAGACGCGGACGUUCGGAGUGUAGCGUUUAUUUUUAAAAAUUCCACAUGAGGGUGGGGGGGGGGGGGGGGGGGGGGGGGGGGGGGGGGGGGGGGGGGGGGGGGGGGGGGGGGGGGGGGGGGGGGGGGGGGGGGGGGGGCGGUGUAUGCUACGCCGUGGUGGUGAUGAGGUGAAUGCACUUUGGAGGAUUUGAAUAAAUCGGUACAGAUUCAGGAUUCCCACCAGGGUUUGUGGAAGCCAUGGUAGAAGAUCAAAUUCCAGCACUGGGACUCCUUGAUAAAGGUCCAUAUGCUGGGAAUGGAAUAAUGACCACACUGCACAAUUACUGGCAAGAGGUCUGUGAGCGUCAGCACAGAGCUCUUCUGCGCAACCUUGCGCUCCGAAAGGAUAUGGAGCUUGUGGAGGCUCGGCUAGCUGUUCUUGCAGAACGUAUUUCGACCCUACGACAGCAAGAUGCUCCAGCUCAGACAUUUGCUGCUUCUCUUUUGCAACCCAACGUCAUCCCUCAAGAUUUCUGUUCAGGAUUCCAUAACAACUUUAAUGCUACUGUGUUGCCUGCUGGAGACAAUGAGUUAUGGACCCUUGAUGAGAAACAGCUUGAAUCGAUAAACGUGAAAAGUUGGAUCAAAACCGAUGGAUCGUAUGCGGAGCAGGAAGAAGAUGAAAGUUUCAGAAACCUGUGUGGACAAGGUCUUUCUACAUCAUUGAGUAGCAACAAUGAAGUUGAGUAGCCAGCAGAGAAACACCUUACUGUGUGUGAUUUGUGGAUGAUCUAUCUAUUACAAAUUCGCUUUCAAGUGUCAUUACGGCCAAAUGAUCAUGCACUUGUUUGUUCUUCUCUGCACACAAAUUAUUCACACCUGUAAUUUCAUUGAUUCUGCAGCAUAUUUCCAGCAUAUAAUUAUACUUCCAAUAAUACACGAUACAGAGCAUCACAAGUACAUUUCAACCAAGCAAUGUUCCAAUUAUGAUUGCACUCAUGUUGGAAAAGCAGGUAAUGAUAAGAUCCUGACAAAUUAUUUUGUCACAUUAUGCACUAAUACACAAUAUGUGGCAUAUAUAGAGUGCCACAAGUUCUUUAUCAUCAUAAUCAUUUUGUAUGAAGCCUAUGGCUGCUAGUUGCAUCAUUUCUUGGAGCAUGGCUAUGCUACUGAUGCAGUGCCCCCUGUUUCCAGUAAGCUGGUAGCCUUUUUGCUGAUAUCGGAAGGAUGGCAGGCUGAAUCAACUCACCUGAAGUUAUUUAAUGACACGACAGAGGCUCAAACUUAAGAUACGAAGAUGUUAAGCCAGCCACCUUAACCGUUAUGCCAACAUCAGGUUACAAGUUAUUUAUGAGUUACUGUUAGACGGCAUAUUGUGUUUCGUAUUGUUAACGGUAUUGACCGUUAUUCAGUCUUGACCAUUAGAUCGUGUAUUGCAUUCAGUAUUGUUAACACUUCCUUAUCUAUGAUUCUAUAUGGAACUAAUUGUUUAUUAUGUAUGAUUUAAUGGUAAGAAGUGGUAACUCGAACGGCAUUCGGUGGGGCACAUAUUCUCAUCCCGCAUGCUCAUUCUGAACAAAAUUACCUUCGUUAACUAAAAACGUUACUAUGAUGGCCCAUAUACCCGGAUCAUCCAUGCAUCCUAUGAUGUCGCAUACAUUGCCAUUAUCCAUAGCUUUAUCGAUUAUUGAUUGAUUUAUUAAGAUAUUUAAUGACCACUUUUGUGCACAUGAAGGAUAAAUUGCAUCAAUGAAGAUGAAUAUUUAAAAAAAAAAUCAAACUAUAUUCCUUGUGGCGAGUCCAUCAUAUGUAUGAAGUUUCACAUCGAUCUAUCUGUAAAGCGGUUCUGGAGAAGAAGAUUUUUUUACAUUUUUAUUUUCAAUCCAAUAUGACCACCAGACCAUGUGAUCAAUGAUGUCAUAAAUUUAAGUCUUCAUUUACAUCGGUCGUAGAUCACAUGUAUGAAGUUUCGGAUUUUUCAUACAAGGAUUUUGAUUCAACCAAUUAUGUCUGGAAUACCACUUCAUGGAUGACGUCAUUGUUAUCACCCUAAUAUACCCCGUGGGGAGUUGAUGGUAUAUGCCAAGUUUCAAUUUUUUUGUUGAGUGGUUUUGGAGAUGUCCAAUUUUUUUUUUCUUUCAUCAAAUAUGGCUGCCAUACCAUGUGACCUAUGACAUCAAUUACCAAUAAAAUAUUCACUAUGGGGAGUCCCUCCUAUGUUUAAAGCAGGGGUCUCCAACCUGCGGCCCCUUAGAUGGAUUUAUGCGGCCCGCAGUGCCAUAUUAAGUUUACAUUACAAUGCGGCCCGCGAUACUGCCAACUUGUGUCAAUGAUCAAAGCGUUCUGUAAUUGGUUUUCAUGACUGGCCUUCUUGACUGAUCUUUUUCACCAUCUGAAUGAGCUGAACCUGCAGCUUCAACGAAGAGGUCUCCUCGUCACUGAAAUGUUUGCCCACCUCAACGCCUUCAAGCUCAAAUCGUGCCUUUGGGAGUCUCAACUGGGCAAGGGGGACUUCACACACUUCCCUCGCCUGAAGUCCUGUGAGUUGUGUGACGCACCUGACUUCGCCACCAGCACAAUCGGUUGCCUCAGGGUCGAGUUCGCUGCCCGUUUCAAGGAUCUCCGAUCGCACAGCCAGCAGUUCCAGUUGUUUUCUUCGCCAUUUGAUGUUGACUGCGACGCUGCCCCUCCUGAUGUGCAGAUGGAGCUCAUUGACCUGCAGUGCUGUGACGAUUUGAGGGGUUUGAGGAGGAGAAAAGGCUCAAUGGUGAUGGGAUGAUGCACAAUGGGGAGUAAUAAGAGAGGGGACAGAGAGAAUAUCUUGCCUCUCCCUUGCUGGAUUUUUGGAGCCUCCACAUCCUCCCUUCCAGCAAUUAUCCCAACCUCGUGUGGCUCGCCUUUAACACAGCAUCAAUAUUUGGCUCUACCUACUGUUGCGAGCAGCUCUUCAGUCGCAUGAAGCUGCUCAAAAACCAGACGCGUGCCCAGCUGACGGACGCCCAUCUCAGUGAUGUUCUGUUGCUCUCUGUGUCCUCCAUCAAACCGGAUGUUGUAACACUCUCUGCUGGUAAGCAGCACCAGCCAUCUCAUUGAAUGUGCUCGUAGGCCCUUUCAUGUAACUCUAUUUUUCUCAAUUGUGUUUAGGUUUACAUGUGCGUUUUCAAUAAAAACUGUAUUUAACUGUUUUUUCACAUUUUUCAGAAUUUAGCGUCCUUUUUUUGGGGUGCGGCCCUCCACCCCUCACCACUUUGCUUUUGUGGCCCUCCGCCCAAAAAUGUUGGAGACCCCUGGUUUAAAGCUUCACAUCGAUCGGACAAGCGGUUGCAGAGAAAACAAAAUUAAAGCGAAAAUUUAUGGAAGUGGACACACACAGACACAGACAGACAGACAGACAGACAGGAGUGUUAAAAUAGUCUUGCAACCCCUUUGGGGCGAGACUAAUAAAGAUGAGAAGUGUUAAUGUUGAAGAUCACAAUUUUGCACGUUGUGGAAAGAUCACAAGGAUUGAGGAAAUUUAUUUCUGUUUCCAGAUGUAAAGCUUCACUCACUGGAACGAGAAGUUUGUGGCACCAUCUACAUAUUGAACUGCUCAUCCCGUAUUUACGAGUGGUUUCUCGAGGUAGAGGCUUUCAGAAAUGUGAGUGAGCUAGUGCACAUAAGUGGUAAAGCAAAGAAGAGAGUGGAGAGAAGAGUUGUUUUACAUUUGAUUUGUACAUUACCGUAUCGCUGUGUUGCUUUGUAUUUAUCCUUUCAAUAAACUACUUUUGACUAUGCCUGAAUACUGGUUGGACAUCCAUUGAUUAUAUAUUAAAAAAAUAACCUCAAGCGCUUUGAUAUGCAGAGUUAAAGGAGGAAGACAUUAACCAGGCUUGACCUGUUAUUAUGAAAUGUAAACUCUUAAUGACAAGAGAAAGUAUUGCUACUUUAUAGUGUGACAUUCUUAACUUUUUCACAUUAAUUCAGAAUUUUAAACUCUGUUUACUUUGUCACCAAAGGUGGACGGAGGUUAUGUUUUCACCCCUGUCUGUUUGUCUGUUUAUCUGUGAGCAGGAUAUCUUAAGAAUUUAUGGUGGACAGGUUGGGUGUGUUUCAAGGACAAAUUGAUUAGAUUUUGGUGAAGAACCAGAUCCAGAUCUGGAUACGAGAAUUUUUGAGUGAUUCUUUACCAUUGAGAGAUGGGGCUAAAAACAGUGUAUAGCCUAAUUGAGAGAUGGGUCAGGUGAUGCCCAUCCUGCUUCCAGGGGAAUUAGUGCAUUGCGUUCCUCUAAGCCCAUCCCUCGGUGUACUGCAGUUAGAGGG